GUCAAUGUUAGGGUGCUGGUGUUAGGGUGCUGUGUGUGUGUUAGGGUGCUGUGUCAGUGUUAGGGUGCUGUGUGUGUGUUAGGGUUCUGUGUCAAUGUUAGGGUGCUGUGUGUGUGUUAGGGUGCUGUGUCAAUGUUAGGGUGCUGGUGUUAGGGUGCUGUGUCAAUGUUAGGGUGCUGUGUGUGUGUGUUAGGGUGCUGUGUCAAUGUUAGG